UACGAAGGGGGCUAGCGUUGUUCGGAUUUACUGGGCGUAAAGCGCGUGUAGGCGGGCUGGAAAGUUGGGGGUGAAAUCCCGAGGCUCAACCUCGGAACUGCCUCCAAAACUUCCAGACUGGACUCAAGUAGAGGCAAGUGGAAUUGCGAGUGUAGAGGUGAAAUUCGUAGAUAUUCGCAGGAACACCAGUGGCGAAGGCGACUUGCUGGACUUGUAGUGACGCUGAGACGCGAAAGCGUGGGGAGCAAACAGG
rnacentral:rRNA from 1 species